rnacentral:rRNA from 1 species
AUUGAACGCUGGCGGCAUGCCUUACACAUGCAAGUCGAACGGACGCACGGGUGGUUGCCCCUGGUGACGAGUGGCGAGCGGGUGAGUAUUACAUCGGCAUAAGUCCUGUAGUGGGGGAUAGUAACGCGGAAACAGGGGUGCUACCACAUACGAACUACGGAUACCAGAGGGGGCACUUCUGCACUCCCGCUCUGCGGUUGGUCGAUGGCUGAUUAGCUCGUCGGUGGGGUAAAGGCCUACCAAGGCGACGAUCAGUAGCUGGUCUGAGAGGACGACCAGCCACACUGGGACUGAGACACGGCCCAGACUCCUACGGGAGGCAGCAGUGGGGAAUUUUGGACAAUGGGCGAAAGCCUGAUCCAGCAAUGCCGCGUGUGUGAAGAAGGCCUUCGGGUUGUAAAGCACUUUUGUCCGGAAAGAAAUCCUUGGCUCUAAUACAGUCGGGGGAUGACGGUACCGGAAGAAUAAGCACCGGCUAACUACGUG